rnacentral:rRNA from 1 species
GAUGAACGCUGGCGGCGUGCCUAAUACAUGCAAGUCGAGCGAACAGAUGAGGAGCUUGCUCCUCUGACGUUAGCGGCGGACGGGUGAGUAACACGUGGAUAACCUACCUAUAAGACUGGGAUAACUUCGGGAAACCGGAGCUAAUACCGGAUAAUAUUUUGAACCGCAUGGUUCAAUAGUGAAAGACGGUCUUGCUGUCACUUAUAGAUGGAUCCGCGCCGCAUUAGCUAGUUGGUAAGGUAACGGCUUACCAAGGCAACGAUGCGUAGCCGACCUGAGAGGGUGAUCGGCCACACUGGAACUGAGACACGGUCCAGACUCCUACGGGAGGCAGCAGUAGGGAAUCUUCCGCAAUGGGCGAAAGCCUGACGGAGCAACGCCGCGUGAGUGAUGAAGGUCUUCGGAUCGUAAAACUCUGUUAUUAGGGAAGAACAAAUGUGUAAGUAACUAUGCACGUCUUGACGGUACCUAAUCAGAAAGCCACGGCUAACUACGUG